rnacentral:lncRNA from 1 species
UCAUACAAACCUAAAUUGUAUAUUUGAAAAAGGAACAAGAACGAUUGAAAAAUGAAAUAUUUAAAUGAGUUUUAUCAUAUCAAUAUGACAAAGAAUAAUAAGACAUGUUGAUGUAUUUCAUUAGUAUUUUUCAGUUACUUCAACACAUAAUUCUUAGAUACUCAAGAAAAAAGGUACACUGAAGUAUAUGUUGUAAUAUAAAGAUUCAAAUUCAUUGAUAUUUCAAUAAAAUGUACUAAGUGACAUCAAAAUCUAUUGUUAAAUGCAUGUUUAGUGCAAUAUAAACGAAACAAAAAAAUUACUAAGAAAAUAUAUCUUGACAUAUUGAUGAAGAAUGUACUAUCCCCCAUUUAAUAGAUUAUAGAUGCUAAAUCUGUUAAGUUUCAUUCCAAUUGUCAUUUCAAAACAAUCUUCAUAAUUAAUAUAUAAUUAAAAAACAAAGUAAUAAUAUUACGUUUGGGCAAUAGAGAGAACAUAUAUAAUUAAUUGAAGAAAAAGUAAUUCUUUAACAAUUAUUUCAAAGAUCGUGUGAAGCGUAGUCAAAUUCCCUAGUAUUAGAAAAAGAGCAGAUUUGUCAAACUGUAUUUUAUUUCUAAUACUAAAAAAUAGGUAAAAAGAGAUUGUUAAAAAAAUCAAAAUAAUUAAGAAAGAUAAACUUAAUAUCGCAACCACAAAAAAAAUCAGUAUGAUAGAGCAAUAUCUAAGAGGAGGUCUAUGAAAUUAUUUCUAUAAAAUAUCUAGGUAAAUUUUUCAUUAAAAAUUAUAGAAAAUAAAAUUGAAUUAUGUGAGAAAAUACCAACGGAAAAAAAAGAAGAAACAUUGGAUCAACCGACGAACCCGCUAUAUUUCCUUCUAUUGGUCCCUCAGGUCUCCAUUUCGAAUAUAUACCGGCACAUUCUCCUCAUUCGAAUUACACGACGCACAUCUCCUCUCCGAUCGAAAUGGCCGCCGUCGAGAACGGCAGCGCGCAGCUGCAAUCAGCGUUAAUCUUCCUCGGCACCGGUUGUUCCAGUGCCGUUCCCAAUGCAUUGUGCCUGAUCCGACCCUCUGAUCCUCCAUGUACCGUCUGUUCUCAGUCGCUUACCAUGCCACCUGUAGAAAACCCUAAUUACAGGUCAUUUGUCCAUUAUCUGCCUUCUAAUUUUACUGCAUUGUGAUUGUUUUUUGAAUUGUUGCUAACUUUAAUUUGCUUUCCAGGCGAGUGAUCUGUGUGUGUAAUUUGUAUGUUCUGAUUUAGGUUAGUCGAAUCUAGCAAUGUGUUUGAUUAGUAAUUGUUACAUUUUCAGUAUUGAGAACUGUUUAAUUGCAGCUUAUCGAAUUAUGGAGUAGUGGCUUAUGAUAAACCAAUGCGAAUUGAUUACUGGUGAGAGCAGGUACAGAUUGAUUGAUUGAUUGAUUACUGGGAACUGAGAAGAAGCUCAGGAAGCAAGUACAUAUUCAUGCUUGUCAUUGUACAUUUAAUUAUUGCAGUGGAAGUCUUUUGAUGAUUGUUUAUGCAUAACUCUGUGAGAUCUCAUAUAAAAGUUCAAGUUGUUAGAUAGAUACAUUUAUUUACUGAUAAUUCUUGUGUUUAUUUGUAUUAUUGUUGAUUGGUUGUGGUGAGAUUCAAAUCUAGAACCUCGAUUUGAUGUGGUACCAUAUUGAAUUAUGUGACCGUCUCAUUAUACAAAUCUUACUAGAACUGUUUCUUUUUUAUCAGUACUGUUACUGUAAAUAAAAGAAGAAUAGGAUGAAUUGGACAAAGAUACAAGUCUAAGCUGUUAGAGAAAGGAAAUGCAUAAUUCUUAUACUAGGUCUGCAACAUGUUAGACAAGUAUCAGCUAUAUACAGCAACAUUUAUGCACUCUGAGAAUUGUUUAAUUGAGCUUAAAGUUAUGAGGUAGUGACUGGUAGUAACAGUUGUCUAAUGGCCUGCAGGUGUAAUACAUCUCUUCUUAUUGAUUAUUGUAAGGACAAUGGUGAGCACAAGUACAUAUUAAUUGAUGUUGGGAAGACGUUUCGGGAGCAAGUACUUCGGUGGUUCACUCGUUAUAGAAUUCCUCACGUUGAUUCUGUGAGUUCAUUUUAUGUUUAUUGACUUACUUUCUCCAGUUGCAUUACUAGUAGAUUGAGGUUGUGUAACACAGUUAAUGAGAAAAUUUGUCAAAUGUGCAUUAAAAGUUGAUUUGAGGAAUAACUUGAACAAUCUGGUUUGUGUAUAAAACUUAGAUUUACAUGCUACAAGGUAAUUACAACAACAUACCGAGUGUAAUCCCACAAGUAGGGUCGGAGGAGGGUAGGAUGUGUGAAACAAAUGCAACCACGCAAAAUUAAAAGUUCAUUCAUGUGUUGGUACUCUUAUUGCCAAGCUUAACUUACCUAUACAAUACGGUUAUACCUAUGCAUCCUUUGAAAGUUAUAACAUUAAGAUAUUUCUAGGUAUAUGAUUUUUGUUUGUUCUUUUUUCCUUGAUUAUACUUUCUCUUCCCUUCUGCUACACAUGUUUCUAUUACAUGCCUUAGAGUUGAUUUGCUUCUUUUAGUCUGUCAUAAUUUACAUGGUUAUCUGUAACUAAGAAACAAGAUUGCAUGUAAAUGAUAUGGAUAAAUGAAUAAAGGAUUAUAUGUUUUUUUAGGAUCUUUUAGAAACGGUAAACCAUUUUUUGCAUGCGAAACAUGUUUAUCAUUGUAUUACUUCUCACUCAUCCUUCAUUUGAUAUGUUAAUAUGUUUGUAAUAUUUUGUGACUUGGAGGCAUCACAUUUUCCUAGCUCUGCUUCUUUCCAUCUGUCUUCAGAUUUUCGUUUGAUCUGCGUGUCAUCUGUCUUCAAUUAUUGAUAAAGAUUCAACAUUGCCUUCAAACAAGGGAAAUAUCGCUGAGAUAUUUCUUUAUUUUGCCUUGAAUAUUCCCCAAAUACUUUAAGAUUGGAAUAAGCACAAGAAUGCCCUUGCACUAAUAAUUUCUAUAUGACCUCACUUGAAAGUCAAUCUUUAAAUAUCCUCUAGUUUCUUUACUGUCCAGAAUAACCUAAUGGGUCAAAAGUUGACUUCAUUACCCUUUUUUUACAUUAAUAUCCAAAAGCCACAUUACAUUUGCACCAUAAGUGCACUAUAUUUAGUUUCCCAUCACGGCAAGUUCAUAUCCUAGGGCAAGGAGAUGCUCUAUGUGUUUUUUGGUACUUAACUGUAAAACAAUUUCCCUAGACUAUUCUGGGCAGAGUUUCUUUUAUUUUAAUAAUGCUUGUGUUAGGGUAAGGUCUGCCUACACUCUUCCUUUCCCCAACUCCACUUGUGGGAUCACACGGGGUAUCUCGUUGUUUGUUGUGUUAGCAUUUAGCAGAAUAUGCAGCUUAUAAUGAGUUUCCCAAGUUCCAAAUUGCUAAGUAUAUCACUUUUACCUUGCUUAAAGAAAAGGCAUCGAUCAUCAUAAUUCAUAUGUAACUUGAUGACAGUAUAGAUACUUCAGGUCUUAGCACAAAACCUGUGUUUUGGGAGAAAUUCAUAGUAUGUUGCUCUUUCGCUUGGGAAUUGUAACUCAACUAACUUUCUAAUAGUAAAGGAGCUUCAACAUUGCCAAGCUAGGGGUGCAAAUAAGCUGAGAUAGCAAGCUGAUAGAACUUUUCGAACAAAACUCACUUUGUGAUAUGACAAGUAUGGUGUUUCAUCAGUCUGAAUCAAACAAUUCAUGAGGAUUUGGGAAACCUUAGAGGUGGUAUUUGGGGCCCUAUUUAUCUGGUUUAAGCAUUCUAGGUAUUUAUUGAAUUAUGAGACCACAAAAAUGCUAUGUUAUCUGGAGCUGAAAAAACAUUAGAAGAUAUAGCUAUUUCAGCAGUUGUGGGAAGUGUACCGAAUAAGUUGUUUGAGUUUCCUCUAAGCGUUUUGCAUCUGGGCUUAUUGAUAGGGAUAUUAGAAACUAGGAUGACGAUGACAUAUGCUAAAAUGCACAUCCACAGGGUUUAAAUUGCAGUACAUGAAAAAAAAAGAGAGGUAGAAACAUCUAGCAGAAUUGAUAGACAUCAAAAGUUUCUGAAUUUUGAAGGUGAGGAAAUGAACUGUGCUACCACUUAACAUAAUAAAUCAUCAAAACUAUAAGUCAGACAUACAACACUAAUCUUAUUCUCACCAGCUCGACUCAACUUGUCAAAAACAGAAACCUCAAUAACAAAGGUCGAAUGUUUUCGAACCAGAAUUCUAGGUACAGAAAAUAAAAAGAGAACAUAAAUUUUCCCAGUUUGAGAGAACACAGAAUUUCCUAGUUUUUGUUCUCAAGAAACAAAUCUGAUAUCUGAUGGACUUAGUUUCUAUUCGAAAACAUAUAUCGAUGUAAACAAACUUUAUUAACAUAUUUCAAUAUGCAAAAUAAAAGAUUUUUUAUUUUACUUUUGGAUAUUAGCUUACAUAGCAGAUGGAGAUCUGGUUCAACCAUCUGCUUUGUUAUUGAUCAGAAAGCACUAAAAAUACUAGUCAUUACCAUAUUUCUCUAAUUCUUUGGACUAAAUUUAACUGAAUGGUGGUGUUCUCCAAUAGAAGAAGAUGUAAAAAGUCUAGAGAACUGUGAUAAGAGAGAGGUAUAUGAUUGAAGCAGCUCACUGAUUUUAUCUUCGAUAUUGUUUUGUGAGAUAGAAAAAUCUUUCAAUUUUUUUCUGUUCUAUAUAGAGCUGUCUAUUUGGAACACAGUUUACUUAGCCGGAGGUUGUGAUGUCAUCAGAUUAUUUUGACUCAUGAGCAUGCUGAUGCAACUCUCGGCUUGGAUGAUAUCCGUGCAGUGCAACCAUUUAGCCCAACAAAUGACAUUGAUCCGACACCAGUGUACCUGACUCAAUAUUCAAUGGAUAGGUACUUUGAUGAAAAUUUUGCUGCUUGUAUAUGUCUACCGGUGAUAACCAAUAAAUAAUAACAAGAGAAAGAAAGAAAGACUAUGAAGGAGAAGAUGUCUUGACAGUCCAUGUGUCAAUUCCUCCUAAAUUUGGAAGAUAACAUUUAACAUUUAGUUGAAGAUCCUGUCAUGAUUUGGACUUUGUGCUUUUAUUAUAACUUCCAUGACUGUUCAUUGUUUAUACUAAUUUAGUGGUUUUACUGUUGAAGUAUGUGAUACAGGUUUUCUUUGUACUAAUAAAGAUUUUUUCUUCUUCAAAGCUACGGAUAAAACUUCUCCCUUUGCAUGAAAGAAUGUAAAAUGUGUAAUUUGUUGGGAUCUCACUAUUCCUUUCUGUUGUUACUUCUGCCAUAAUUUCCUUUUGUCCUUGAUUCAUUAAUAAAAAGUGCCUCUGUAGAUUUCACUAAUAAACAAUUAUUGCAUUUACAGCAAAGUAAUGACAUUGAAAAUAUAUGCAUGUGUACUAAACAUGGCAAGCUCUUCUGUAUCAUUUUUGGAAUUUAUAUAUAAUCAUGUUUCAUUUAUGCACCAUUUGCUUCUUGUGCAAUUUUCGUGAUUCUCCUAGAGUUCUUUUUCUGAAACAGCAUUGUUCAGAAAUUCCCUUACUUAGUCCAGAAGAAACUUAAGGAAGGCCAGGAGAUUAGACGUGUGUCACAACUUGAUUGGCAGAUUAUUGACCAUGAUUGUGAAAAGCCCUUUGUUGCAUCAGGACUAGAAUUUGUUCCGUUGCCAGUGAGUUUCACCAUACCUCCUUUUAUUCUAAUGCACUCAAUAUUUCCUUGUGUCUUGUCUUUUUUAAACUUGUAGACUUUGGAUGUAGGUAAUGCAUGGCGAAGAUUAUGUGUGCUUGGGGUUUCUUUUUGGUAAAAAAUUCAGAGUUGCAUAUAUAUCUGAUGUUUCACGCUUUCUUCCAACUACUGUAUCCUGUGAGUAUUAUCUCUAUCCCUCUGGUAUGUGGGGUUUGCUCUUUGAUCAUUGUUGAUCUUACCUUUUCAUCCAAGGGACUGAAUAUUCCAUCAAGGCUUCAACUUGAGGAUAGUUGAAGCCUCCUGGCCUAGUUCUCAUUAGAUGGAAAUGUGUAUAUUCUUGAUAAAUGAAGGUUAAGUCUUGUUAAGGAAGAAUUUUUUUUUGCAGACAUUUCAAAAGAUAGUGGUCAACAACUAGAUCUGCUUAUUUUGGACACUCUCUAUAAGGUCAGUUUAGGCAUUGUAAAAUUUCAAGUAUUUGAUUACAUCUAGCCGUUGAAGCCCAUAAAAGCCUGUUAUUCAUUCUAAAUUCUAAUGCAUGUCUAUGUCAUUAAAUUUUAAAGCAAUAGUGACCAGUUGCAUAAUCUAUGUGGUAUAUGACCACAUGAACAUGCUUUGGUUGUUACUAGGAUGCAUAGCAGAAGAUUAUGUCUGUGCAUUCUCAUUGUUGGUUAUUCUUCAAGAUCUCACUUCAAUAGCAUAGUUACUAAAUGUCCUCUUUAGUAUGAAGAAUUAAGAUCUCACUUCAAUGGGUAUGAAGAAUUAAGUCUUGUUACAGGCCAAGAAAGAAGAAUCCAAGAGACCCAAGUCCAAAUCCUUGGAGAUGAACUCCUCUUCUUCUUCUUCAAGUUUUCAAAACCCUCUCCAAACUCAGAGCAAAAAUAAAAGUACUAAAAUUAUAUUAAGAAUCUGAUACUGUCUCAUCCUCUUUUCUCUAUAACUCUCAAUGAGUAUUUAUAGUUUUCAAAAAUCUGUGCUGCGACGGAUCAUUCGGCGACAUUAGUAGGAAUCACCGAUCAACUUCGGCGAUUCGCACUUUGGUGUAGUUCAUCGCCGUCUUGCACCAUCUUUCGGCAUCGUCGUGCUUUUGGUCAUUGGGCGAUAUAGUACUGCUUCGCGGAACUUUUCGGCGAUGCGCCGACUGCUUCCUUUUCCGCCGACUUGAUCCUUUCCUUCAGGGCUCAGCACAGUGGAACAAAAGGGGAAGUGAGACCCUUCGGCGACUCGCCAAGUGGACUCGGCGAACCUCAGGCCUUCAUUUUCUUCGUUCUCUUUAGCCUUUUCAUUCCUUUUUGCGAAGUAGUGACCAUGCUCUCCUUCAAUCUUCAAAUACCUGAAACUUAAGGGUUUUCAUCAGUUAUUGAGAUAAAAUAAGCAUUUGAGAACACAAAUUCUAUUAAAAUAUAGCCCUAAAUGAGUCCAAUUUGUGGACUCAUCAACUUCCAUACUCCAAUCCUAUAGGAACAACUGACACUCUUUCAGCACCAUAUUUGGAUCUUGCUCAUAUUUGGCUCUGAUUACCCUAUGGCCUAUUCCAUAGAGCAUUUUCCUCCCGAUUAUAUCUCCAUAGCCAUUUUAACAAUGUUGUGAGCCUGCAAAUUUUUAAUGCCCAAUCACACUCUCUCCUUGCUAGUAAUUAAGGAUUUUUACUAAGUGAAUUGCUUGUUUCUCUUUGUUUUCUUGCCAAUUGAAGUUUCUUCUUAGUGCAUCGAUUUUUGUCCUUACCUUUCUAGGUCCCACUUCUUGGGAGUGAAAGCCACUUGAUUGUAAGGAGAGGAGCGGCUGUGAAACGGCAAUUCCCCCCUUUCCAUUGAAGUAGGGAGGGCCUCCUACCCCACCAUUCCGGCCUAUCUUUACCGAUGCUGAAGAUAGCUUGCUUACCAAGCUGCUCACUUGAGAAGCUAGUCGCCAGGAAAGAAGCGAGGAGGAAGCGAAGCUGUCUAUGAAGCUUUGAUCUCCCCUUGUAGUCAUAAUACUCCAACUUGCGCAGUACUUUCAGUACCCAAAGGUAAACCCAAAUAGACAGUAGGUAGAUAGCCUACCCCACACAUCCCAAAAUGGCUGCCAAGGUUUGAAUACCCUCUGCUUCUUUAACAAAAUAAAUCAUACUCUUCCUCCAGUUGACAUUAAACCCUGAGACUGCCUAAAAAUGACUAGAAUUAGUCUUAGAUACCAUAAUUGUUCUGCCUUAACUUUACAAAUACCAAUGAAUCAAUCAACAUAAAGAAGAUAUAUGAUCUCCACAUUUUCCCCUUCCCUAUUAGAACCAUUGAAGUCUUUUAACCAGUCAUUCCGCUUGCAUACUUUAGCAUUUGAUUCAGACCUUCCAUGACAAAGAGGGACAAGAAAGGUGAUAACUCAAACUUCUCUGAGAAGAGAAAAAGCCUUCAAAAGGGAGUGUAAUGUAAGUGAGGGUGCACCCCCUCCCCCCGUUUUUUUUUUGUUAGCAAGAAGUGGUUCGACCCAUUUACCAAAGUACAGAACCCAGCUGUCUUGAUACAAAAAGCUAUCCAGUUGAUACACUUCCUGCCAAAACCCAUAUCCUUGAGAACCUUGACAAAGUAACUCCAGUUAACAAGAUCAUAGGUCUUCUCAAUAUCAAGCUUACAAAGAAUACUAUAUUCUUGCCCUUAUAAUCUAGAGUCCAGAUAUCAUUGGCAAUGCAUCAAUGAUCUGUCUGCCUUCUAAAAAAGCCACCUGGUUCCCAUUGAACAGCUCAUCAGCCACUUUCUUCAACAUCUCUGUCAAUUUUUUUGAAAUAAUCUUGUACACACUUCCUAUUAAACUAAUAGGUCUGAAGUCCUUAAGUUCCUUAGUGCUACUUCUUUUGGGGGAUGAGAGCAAUAUAGGAAGGCAUUAAAGCACUUCUCAAAGUACUCAUUGCAUUGAAAGUUCCUGAUGGUAUUCAUUAACAUCUUCUUUCACAAUCUCCCAGUACUUAUGAAAGAAGCCCACAGAGAAACCGUCCGGGACCAGGUGCCUUAUCUGCUGCACAAAGUCUCAGACUCUCCACCACCUCCUGUUCUUCAUUCUUUCUCUUUUGCUGAAAUUCUAGUGCUACCUUGAUACGAGAAUUGAGGUCUCCAACUUUUUUUUUAUUUUUAGUAGAGAUUAUGAUAAGACACAAUCUCCUUCCUAAUCCCUACUGGAUAAGUGAUUAGGUUCCCCUGUACCUCUAGCUUAUCUAUAUGAUUGAAUCUUCUGUGAGAAUUUGUCAUUUUCUAAAAGACUUGGUGUUUUCAUCUCCUUGCUAUAUCCUCGAAUUCCAUAUGUGAUGAUGCCCUUUCCAGAAACUCAUUUUCAUUUAGUGGCCUUUGUUCCUGCAAAACAUCAAAACUGUUAAUUUGAUUUAAAAGCCUGAUCUUCUUCUUCUGCAGGUUCCCUUCAUAAGCAAUGUUCCAUUCCUUUAACUUGGGUAUUAACAGUUAAGUUUUCUAGCCAAGAUAAAAUCAGGCCUUCCUGAUAUUUCAAAAGAUUUCCACCACCCCUCUACUCUCUCCUUAAAUCCUUCCACCUCCAUCCACCAAUUUUCAAACUUGAAAUAGGACUUUGUAAAAUCCCAUUCCCCACACUUUAAAAGGACAGGCACACAAUUCUAGGAAACAGGCUGUUUUUAUUUUAUUGAAUUCCUCAUCCCAUUCAGAUGAGAAGAGAAAUCUAUCUAAUCUUGAAAAGCACUCAUGAAGAUUUUCUUUUCCCCAACUCCCAAGUAUGUUUCCCUCCAAGUAAAGGAGGAUCGACAAGCUCCAAAUAUUCUAUGGUUUCUGAGAAUUAUCUCAUUGCCCUGGAAACCCCUCUGCUAUUCUUCUUUUCUGUAACAUAUCUAGUGAUGUUGAAGUUCCCACAAAUCAUCCAAGUCCCUUCACAUACCCCUCUGAUACCAUCCAUUUCCCACCAUAAUUCUUCUCUCUCUUCGACUAUUAGGAGUAUAAUUCUUCUCUCUCUUAGUCUAUGAAUCCUCUGCAUUUCUGCAGUCAUUUAACUUCAAUAUUGUUAAUUAGUGUUCAAAAGACACAGCACUUUCUACAUACAUUAUCAAUAAAUUUAGAAGCCUGGAUUAUACCAUCAUCUAUUAUCCAUUAAAUCGUAAGUUUGGACUCUCGUGGUGGUAAAUAGGGUAAAAUGGAUUAACCCAUUGAGCUCCAUCCUAAUUAUAAAUACCCCAUCUAUUCCGAAUAUAACAGAUCUCCUACUAGCGAUUUGUGUCCUACCAGCCAAGCACUAAUCAUGCUAUGAAUAAAUGUUAUGCACCAAGCUUCAAUUGGUUAACAAAAUGUGUUUGGGAAAUUUGAAAUUAGAAACUAGAAAGGAGGAAUUGUAGCAAUUCCAUAUGAGGUGCUAUUCAUGGUUAGAACUAAUUAAGGGAAUUUGCAAGUGCUGCAUGGGGCGGAGUUUACUUAACAGUAGUAGAAAAGGAAUUUUCAGCCGAUUUAAGAAAGGGAUAAUACAUAAGUAUCCCUUUCAACUUUUUUUGGAAGAUUCAACUACACCUUUAAACUUUGCAGGAGACCUAUUACUUCUUGUCAUUGUUUGAACUGCAAUUCCUGCCAUCCUGAGAGGUUUAUAACCAUAAUAAGAUGAGAACAUGGUAGUUUUGCGCUGAGGCACCCAACUAUAAAUGGUUGCUGGACCCUUAUAAACCUUAACUCUCAGCUCAUUCAACAAUUUUAAAAUUGCUUUUCUCUUCUUUUUUUUUUGUAUAUUUUCCAUCUAGGAUUGAUAUAUACAAGACAUACCAUUGUAAAUGAUUGGGUGUUCUUUU